UCACAGAAUUAGAAAUGUCAUUCGACUUCAACAUGCUUAUAUACCGUCAUACACAUAUUUGCAUCUACAUGACUUUUGAUCUGUAAAGCUUCAAUUAACGUUUCCAAAUCAAUGUUAUUUUGAAGUGUUUGUUACCCAAUAUUCACUGCGGUAAUCAUUGUCGAGGUUUUAGUCGGGGAGAAGCAGGUGAGUUUGAAAUAAUCUGUGAGCUCAAACUUUUUAUGAAGUACUUUAUACUCACUUCCAGCUGCAAAAUACAAAUUCCCUCUCAACUGAUACACAUGCAGAGCGAAAUAAAGCUUAAACAUGUUUUACGCGGUGAUUUUCCCUCAGGCAUGUGGAAAUGGGCGUUGAUGGAACAAACAGACGCGAAAGUCCACAUCCAAACGUCCCUCGUUCCAAAUCGUUGUUAUAUCGUUCCGCAUACAAACUUCAUUUACAUUCCGAAAUUCCAGUCGGUGAUUUUGACACUUCUCAAGUUGUUUUCCCUCUUUACAUGUGUAAAUAACAUGGUGGAAAGCAGAGCGUCUAGUGCGUAACCGAGCGUAAUCCAAGAAGCGGCACGACGCGCGAGGACGCACAACACAAAUGCGAUCAAAUGAGUUCACGGAGUUUACCGUGGGGUUCGGCUCUCUCUUUGUCCCACAGCACAAUAAUCCUUCACCAGGACGUCCUGAACUUUACUGGAACGCUGAGGGAACUGGUUCAGAGAUUGCAGACGGAUCUCAAAGUCUCAAACACUGAACAGAAGUACUGCAAGUCUCUGAAAUGACCUCCUGGUGUUUUUUUAAGCUUUGGAUGAAGAGUGGCCCAAACAGAAGGACUCGCUUUACAAGGCUGUCAAAGACGCAAGCGCCAGCUGCGAGAGAAGACCUGAAACGAGCGCGUGGAGCUGGAGCUGGAGAGAUUUCAUGGGCUCCAUCUUCACUGGAUCAGGUGCACGAGUGAGACGCGUCCCUCCAGAAGCGUUUGCGAGCGUGAGAACCUGGUUUCGCUUGGAUGAUGCCAGAGGUCAAGGGUCAGCAGCAGUUAAUAAGAGGAGCUGUCUGAGGUCCCAGGGGUCAUUCCCAAGGGUCUGACCCGCUUGUCGGCAACACUUAAUAAAUGGUCUAAAAGGCUUCAGAUAUAAGACAGUCGACACCUACGAGAUGGUGGCAGCCGCCAUUUUGUGAUGUGCGGGGCCUCAGAGAGGUGAAGUAUAUUUGCUGUAAUUUCCACUACGACAAACCGUUUUGCGCCUAAUAAGGUUAGUCAGUGAAGACCUCGAGAUGAUAUAUGACACUUGAUGCAUUAAGAAGUCAAAGGUAAAUUAAGUGAGCGGCCGAGUGCACCUUGACCCGCAGCCCACACUGGCGCAGCUCCAGGCCGAAAACCUGCUGGAUUUGCCAUUUGGAAGUACUGACCUGCGACUUACCCGUUCCCGAUCCAUUCGGACAGGGGAUUCAGGAGUGAAGCUGCUCCGCUCUGGGACAGGUGCCAAUUGCUCACAAAAGGCGAGUGAAAAUAUCAGUGAUCUGCAAAAGGAAACGUCGGGAGUGAGUGGAAAACGCAAACUCGCAUGCGUCCGUGCAACUAGCGCAGAAAAAAGUGAAGGAUGGUUGCGAUGGGAGGGGAAGACCCCGAAAAAGAGGAUCGUGAAAGAGGAGGUGGGGGUGCGUUUAUUCAAACCUGCUUGAUGCUCCUCGGGCCUUCGAGAGCCGAUCGCAUGUGCCGUAGUAACCGCGGGACCAUUUGCAUGCGGCAGACACGCUAAUUGUGUGUUUGCUAACAUGCACCAUUCAGCGAGACGCUCUCCAGUCCGCAGACGGGGUUCACACACGCCUCCCAGACGCCCCGGAGGCCUCCUAUUGUUCCAAAGGCCCAGCCGGCGAGCCUAACCAGAGCCCUGCGCAGGCCUGCCGAGAGGGGGAACUGGAAUUCGAGACCAGACGGGAUAGCUGAACGGGACGGACUCGCAGCCCCUCUCUCUCUUUCUCUCCGCAGCAAGAAAAAAGAGGCCUCCGGACGCUGACGUCCUCACAGAUAUGUGCAAAAGUAAAGUUUGAAAUGGACUAACCAAGAUGCAGCCCUGCACAGGAACUUGACAGACAUGUUCACUAUGAAUCAUCAUUACAAGGAAAGAGCAGAAAGAAGAAAUUCUCCUGAAGUGUUUGACAGACAUGCGGGUGAGUGAAUAAGUGUGGUUCUGUGGCUUUAAGGCUUCUGGCGUGGCGUGGGGUACAGUACACGAGACUGUAAGCGGCAGAGAGUGGGCUUGUCAGGUGCUGCUGGCAAAGGUUAGCGCUCCGCUUUAAUAACAGGAUGCAUCUGCUCUCCGUCAUGAAUACACCAGACUGACUCUGACCAGAGACACGGACCAUAAGUCUUUUCUGGCCUGUCACUAAAUCGCUUUUUCACAUCGUAUCAGUUACAGGGAACUAAAGAAGCUCUGGCGUUAACAAGGCUAGUUUGGCCGAAAAGCGGUUCAAUUGAGGUUACGCCGAGUCGCUGGUGGAACAGCUUUGGCCGAGAGCCUCCAUUGGCCAUUGUCUCGCAGUUAUGACAAAUACGGUGAACUUUUGGGGAAAUUAUGAACAAAUAAGGUGGAAACAGUUGCUGGAAUGAUAGCGGGGAGGAAAUCGGAGCGUAUUGUAGGUGUGAACCUGAUCCGGCCCUCAUCGAUUGAUCAUUGCUCCGCAUUCCUCGGCUCUUUGAAGCCUGCGGCCCGACGAAACCCUUCCCAGAGGCUCAUUGUCUUGUGUCGAGCUCUGGAGUGACAAUCCUGUGCGGCUGAUCUGGCUCAUUAUGGAGUCGUGCUGCUGUUUAGUGAUGUCUCCACCACCGGAGACACCGUCUAGUGCUCUGGACAGAACAAGCACGCUUUUUUUUUUUUAAGAUGCCAUAGUAAAGAAAAUGCUCGCGAAAAUAGUAAUGAGAUUAAAUAGACUAUUCAGACCUGUUUAAUGUGCAUUUAGUAAAUUAUUUGGUAAAUGUGUUUUUAUCCU